UACGAAGGGGGCUAGCGUUGCUCGGAAUCACUGGGCGUAAAGGGUGCGUAGGCGGGUCUUUAAGUCAGGGGUGAAAUCCUGGAGCUCAACUCCAGAACUGCCUUUGAUACUGAGGAUCUUGAGUACGGGAGAGGUGAGUGGAACUGCGAGUGUAGAGGUGAAAUUCGUAGAUAUUCGCAAGAACACCAGUGGCGAAGGCGGCUCACUGGACCGGUAUUGACGCUGAUGUGCGAAAGCGUGGGGAGCAAACAGG
rnacentral:rRNA from 1 species